AUGGCCUGCUACCCAUGCAAUCCCCUCCCUCACCUCCCGCCCGGCACCACCAUCAUCCCACCUGGCCCGCUCCAUGCACAUCGCGGCUAUGUGGUUCUCGGUGGAGAACUUCCAAUGGUUUGCGAUGAGUGGGCUGUUGCCACCCUCAUCCCCGAGGUUUCUGCAGAAGAGUUUCAUGGAGCCAUUGCUCUCAUCACCAACUAUCUUGAAGGUCUGGGCUGGCGCAUCAGCUACACAUCUCGUUGCGGUAUGGGUACGGCCUUGAUCCAGUUUACUACUGCAUGCUCUAGAGACACAGCUGUUGGUAGUAGCCCGUUUCAGAUUGGUGAUUCAGUAUUGAGGAUCAGUAGACAAGACAGAGGUUUGAACUAUCGCAGUAUCACAUUUACGCACGAUGUUUGGAUCAUGCUGAUGAACUAUCCUUUGGAGUGCUGGGAUGUAGAUGUCAUUAGCCGCACGGUUUCCCCUUACGUCAGAUUUUUAAUUUGGAACAAGGAUCCUAGGGACAAAACCAGAGUAGUUAUCAAAAUCCGUACUAUGAAUGUUGAUGCUAUUCCGAUCAGUAUUGUCGUGCUUAGGAACAUUGACGAUGUGGGUUAUGGUGAUUCAUGGACUUGCCUGACAUAUAUCUUGUCGGGGGAGCUCAUUGGUCAGCAGGCAGGAGAUGAGGACCCACUCCCUCCUGAUGGUGGUAAUCCACACCCUUUGCCUCAUAUUCAUGGUGGAUUUUGGCAUGAUGAAGUACUUGGUAACAUCCCCAUGGACCAGGUGGUCAUAAACCCACACAAUGAGGAUCUUGGGGCCCCUUAUGAGGAUGUACAUGCGGCUAACAAUGCCCAUGUCAAUCAAGUUGCUGGAGACAAGGACCACAAUGAUGCUCUGAAUAUAAACCCUGAUACUGCUGCCAAUAUUGAGAUUUCUGAACCUGUUCUGAAUGACCCAGUGCAGAUCAUCUCCAAUAUCUCUGUGGGACAGAAUUUCAAUGUUGUGCAUGAUACUAUGGGGCCUUAUUAUAUCCCCUUGGAGACAGAGAGCUCACAUCACACAACUGUUGCAGCAACAAGUUCCAGUUUCAAGCCCUAG
rnacentral:rRNA from 1 species